UCUUAACAGUUCACACAGACCUAAACCAACACGUUAACGUAUAUCUCAUAUCUCCAUUGACCAAAAUCCCACAAAACCAUGCUUCACCCUGUUGCGCUCCUUCUUCCCUCAUUCGCUAACUUCAUAUUCUGGUCAUGCUGGUCCCUUCACGGCGUCGUUUCUGAGCCCCAGAGCAAUCUUCUUAGCCGUGCCUGCCUCCAAUAUAACAGAGAUGAGUAUGAUACCAAGUCCUUCAAUGACAGCGUAAACGCAGCGUUUCGAGACCUCCCAGAUCAGGUCGUGAACCAGAGCAAGUUCUUUACCACGACGCAGCAAACUGACGGAGCCCUCCCCGUUUACGGUAUUUCUCAGUGCAGAAACUACCUCUCCGUCGUCGACUGUGUCGCCUGUUUCACCGAUGCCGUCGGGUAAAUCCGAAACUGCUCCGCCGGGACUAACUUUGCCAGUGUCAUCUACGACGGCUGCUUCGUCAGGUAUGAGAGCACCAAUAUCUUGGAGCAGACAACGGGAAUUUUCAAUACACAGCAUCGUGUGGAAACCAGAGUAGUACUUUAGAAGCAGCCACUGAAUUUGCUUCAGCUUCACAACAAGUGCUAAUGAAUCUCCAAAAAACAACACCCAAAAUCACUGGUUUGUCUGCAGCCACAAAGAUUCAAGUUCCUAAUAAUAAUGGUACAGUGACCAUCUAUGCAUAUGCUUAGUAUACUGAAACUAUCUCACAAAGUGGGUGUGAGAAUUGCUUGAAGGAAGGGAUCAACACUGUGCAGACAUGCCUUCCCAAUUCAGAUGGUAGGGCUUUUGAUGCUGGCUGUUUUAUCAGAUUCUCCACCACUUCCUUCUUUCCUGCUAACCACACCAUUAAUAUCACUAAUAAUCCCAUAGUCAAGCAAGGCAUGGAAACCAUAUGAGAAAGGCAUGCAAUUAAUGUUGGUGGACAAUAACUUCGACCCUAAUGAGUAUGAUGCAGAAGAAGUAAAAAAAAUCAUAAAAAUUGGUUUGCUUUGCACUGAAGCAUCUCCAGCAAUAAGACCAACAAUGUCUGAAGUUGUUGUUUUGCUCAGAAGCAAAGGCUUAUCAUUGGAGCACAUGAGACCCACCAUGCCUGCCUUUGUUGAAACAAGUUUCCUUAAGCUGUUGUCUAAUUCCAAUGCUACGGCCUCCACUAAGAUACCGUCGCCAAGAUGAUUGAACGAUAGA